AGAGCUUGCUACUCACACCAAGAGUCGUCCAGAGCACUCCCUACUGAGGCAUUCCUUCAUGACGACUAAAUUUAUAAGUUCUUUCGUUUCCUUUAUAGCGGGAGAUACGCGUCAUGUAUACUUUAGAGAACCACAGCUACCUUCAUCCUGUAUGGUGUUAAUCUAAAGGGUUUGUCUAUCUUUAAAAACCCCAGACACUGCUGCCACAUAUACUAGCCCAGCCAAGCAUGGUGUAUUUGCAAAGACUGGCCACAUAAGUACGUUAAGUGAUACAUAUGUGGCGUUAACCCUUUCUGCUAAAUAUCUUACAUGUUACUUUAUUUGUGUAACUCUAUAAAGCUUCACAAAGCCAGUAUAAUGUCACAGGUGCUAAAAUAUUUAAGCUCCUCCAUCUUUUACUCUAUUUUGGUGUCAUUGGUGUCUUUCAAGAUUAUAUUUAAGACCCACAUCAUUUUAUUGAACUGAAGUGAAAGCCGUGGCACUUAAAGGGUUGAGUCUGCUUGGCGCUAACUGGAGGUGAUCGCUGGGAGUGUAAGUGGGUGGUGGUCUGGUGGGUGAGGCAACGCGACAACAGCAUCGAGUUCCGUGGUUGCGAGGAAGAUUCAAGUCUACCAUGCUAAAGCUCCAUUUUCUGUUACGCUUGUGUUUCACUUGCAAUUCGUUUUCUAGCCAAGGAAUGAAAAGCUUACGUAUUCUGCACCAUAGGAUUACUGCCAUACAUACUUAAUUUUUAUUACUAUUUUUUAACUAAACCUGCACAUACAUAAAAAAAAAAUAAUAAUGAUAAUAAUAAAAAAAAAAAAAAAAAAUACGCCACAUGAGGUCUGUAAGAUAGUUUUAUCAAUGAAGUCAGAUAUUAAGAGGGUUUGUAGAAGACGGAGCAGUAACAUUUGAGAAAGCUGUAGUGCUAAUAAUAAACUCACAAAUCAAGGAAGUGAUCAUGAAAAAUACAACGCAGUGUUCGCGGGAGAUGCGUCACUUGAAGGUUACAGUUGUGCUCAGACGCCUCCGUGCGGCCAGCAAACCAUGUCAUCAGUGAAUGGUUUAAAGAUCGACUCGAGCUCAAUGGAAAUGGUUCGAAACAGACACCAGUACGAGUUCGGGUUGGAUAUGCGGCUGAGUCACAUCACAUACAAGCACAGUUUAUCUAACCAAGGAUACAAUUCAUAGUUUAACAGCUACCAUUUCUCCGAGCUCGACAAAGCUACCAUAGAGAAACUAAAACUCAUGUAGCCCUUAUAUUUACAAGUCCUUCAUGAGAUGUCCAAGUGGGUGGUGAACAUCUAUCACUGGCAACAUGAGGGUGGUCUGCAGCAUGAGAGCGGCCAAGGUGGUGGUGGUGCUGGUGCUGGCGUGGUGCUGGGGCGCUGCUAAAUGCCGGCUGGGUGCUGUGAGAGUCGCCGUGACACCCAAAGGUAACGAUGAGCGGUCGCACUGUGUCUGUGGCUCGUCAGAUUACAGUCGCCUCCCAGAACAGUUUCACCGAACACAGUCUGGUGCACACAUCAGUAAAACCACCUCAGUAACCAACACAUUCCCUGGCUGUAAAGAAGACAACACCAGUUUUAAUGACAUUAGUUCUUCGGAAGCUUAUCCAUUCAACACACAAGCAGGGGGGCGAAAACCUCGAGGGACCCGCAGUGUGUUGACAGAUAAAGGAUCCACAUUUCUGUAUGAUGGACAAGCUCAGGUCACUCAGAGCUCGAAAACCUUUGUCAGCAAGUACCAGCCGAUUGAGAUAAAUAUUGAUAACAGCCUGACGUCUCCGAUAUACUCCAGCUUGCUCAUAGAAAAGGGGGUUGCAUUUAGUGUAUUCUUCUGGGUGUAUCUAGCUGCCUUUCUGUACGUGGUGUGUUACUUCUUGUCUUCCUUUAUUACACCAUUCUCGAUCCUCGGCUUUAUAAUGAAGGUUUUGCUAGUUCAUUACUUCCCAGCCAUUAUACAGUUAGAGUUGUUCCGUGUUGCUGACUACAUCUUGGCUUGUGUGCUUGAUUAUUUGGCCUGAAAGUGGAGUGUGGAUUAAAGGGAGUGUCACUGUGGGUGUUGAGUUACGUUUGUUGACAAUAGAAGCAGCUUUGUAGUAUUUGUGUAUUAACUUAACAUCGUGUUUCACUUGCUUUGUGCACAACACUGUGCCACUGAUGUUAGGUGGAAAUAUACGAGUUUUCUGUUUAUUCUAUCAUUGAGAAUUUUGGCAUACAACCAGACUUUCCAGCCUUUACAUGUUAUUGUCUAUUGCAUUCUUGCAAUGGCCGACUUUCAAGAUUUUGAAUUGUUAGGAAAAUAAAUAUGUAUUUAUUAUUAAA